CUUAUUUGUUACUUUUUCAGGUCAAUGAAGCAAAAAAUGUUUUGAAGCUUUGUGAUUUUGGUAACGCCAUGUUUGCUGGAAAAAAUGAAAUUACACCUUAUCUUGUGAGCCGCUUCUAUCGUGCUCCAGAAAUAAUUCUUGGUCUCUCUUAUGAUCAUCCAAUGGAUAUGUGGUCUGUUGGCUGCUGUUUGUAUGAGCUUUAUACUGGGAAAGUUCUCUUCCCUGGUCCAACAAACAAUGACAUGCUACGCCUUCAUAUGGAAUUAAAAGGUCCUUUCCCAAAGAAGAUGCUUCGCAAAGGGGCAUUUAGUGAUCAGCAUUUUGAUCAAGAUCUGAAUUUUCAUGCUACAGAAGACGACCCUGUUACCAAAAAGACCAUAAAGAGGAUAAUUAUUAACAUAAAGCCAAAAGAUAUUGGAUCAAUUAUUGUGGGUUCUCCAGGCGAGGAUCCCAAGAUGUUAGCCAAUUUCAAAGAUAUUCUAGAAAAAAUAUUUGUCUUGGAUCCAGAGAAGAGAAUGACAGUGUCACAAGCAUUAUCGCAUCCAUUCAUCACGGGCAAGUGAGCCAUGUUGCUGAUUUUAUGACUGCAGAAAUGCUGCUUCACUAGAUAUUUGUAAAUUAUGUUCUAAUCGUUAUUAAGACAUCUAAUCAUUGGACAUUAUCUUUUAUCUUCUCUUCUCUGCGAUAAGAGCUCUCGAUACAGUUUUUGGCAUGGUUCAAGUGAAGGGGUGAUGUUUGGUCAGAAGUACUCUUUACUGGCGAUUGUUUCAGUGGAAUGUACUGUUUCUAUUGAUAUCUGCCACUGCUUUGAGACAAUCCUCCAGUGCUUAGAUGCUUAAAAGGCACACAGGAGAAGGCACUUGCAUUGGAGCUUGUACGUCUGCAGUAAAAGUGAGAAUGUAACUGAUAAUCCCAUGUGUCAUUGGAUCUUGUAAGUAUUUCUAGCUCAUAUCCAUUUCUAGUGCAGUUCAUUAUUGUGUUUAUAAGUUGAGGUUCCUUCCCAUUAAUUAUUUAUUAUUAUCUAGUAUAGGAUGGUUUUUAGGAACUUAACUAGUAUGGAAUUGACUGUCGCUAGUAGUCAUUCUUUACAAAUUUUGGAUUUUUUGUAGGAUUUUAGGUUUAAGUCUGACCGUCGAUUCGCUUUGAUCUUGAGAAAGUGAUAUUACAAGCUAACAGUUCGAUAAUGUUUCUUGCUUUUUUUGUAUUAUGCCCAAACCUGAAUCUUUUUGAAAGUAGAACCUGAUCGUUUUUUCUUAAGCUUUUUAUCUUCAUUUCCCAAGUUGUUAUGGUUUGUUUCCGUAACCAGGUAGAGGUCCUAUGUUAAAUAUGAGUUACCUCCUUUAUGCUGGCCUCGUUGAAUUUAAAUUUUGGCGUCUGAUUUCCCUGUUGUCCACAAAAUUUGCUUGUUGCCAGUCAUUUUCAUUUCUAAAACCUUGAUGAUUAAUGAAAUUAAAGGGUGGGGAAUUUUAGUAUAUUGUUUUUGUUGGGUUUCUUAUUUCUUUUUCAGAAAUCUUUUUGAAGUAUAAAUAAAGCUUUCAAGCUCUUACUUUUUAUGCUUGCAAUUGCCUGCGAAACAUUUUGAGUUAAUAUUCCAAUUUUUAAUGAAGUUGCAUAGCUAUGACUUAAAACUGGAGAAGGUAGUUACUGCUUGAACUGAGCAAUUUAUUUCUAGUCUCCGCUUCAUUCUUUUCUUUUUCAUCAAUUUCUUUAAAUUGAUUUUUUUUGAAAUAAAAUUUCUUUAAAUUGAUUAAUAAUGGCUAUUCCUAUUGGAAUAUGGUCUGGAGAUAUUAUCUUGUUGAACUUGGUAUGAACUCACUUCUUGUUUCUUAGGGAACAAAAGGAACUCAAUCUUGGGUCAGGAAAAGAAAAUUGAUAGAUAGUAAACAUUCCUAACUAGGUUGGUGUAAGACACAGGGAACUAGGACCUAGAACUAUAGAGAAAUUGGACCAGAAACAGAUUCUGGACCUCAAUAAUCAAUUCAGUUUAAUUGAAUCUGAAACUUUUCUAUGGAUAUACUUUAUAUCAGUGCCAAAUAUACCACCAGGAUUGGUAGGUAGGUUACCUAGCAUAAUAAGAAUACUUGAUAGGAACUACUAAUGAUAGAACAGAAACUACUCUGCCAGAGAAGAAAUCAAGUAAAUUUCCUCAAUAUUUCUUAAACUCCUAAACUAUGUAAAUAUUAUUAGAACCCUUGUGAUAUUCAAGAAAAAUUAUUUCAGAAAAAGUUAUUGGGUGGUUGGCAGGAUGCAUGGAGUGGAAUGAAUGUAAAAUCUGUUAUGGGACUAAAUUACCCUUACUCUUUUAUUGAGUUUAGAGAUACUAGAAUUAUUACUGUCUUCACACGUUAGGAAAUUUUAUUGUCUCCCACUUUCACCUCCUUUGCAGAUUCAAGUCUUUAGUCUCUUUGCACAUUAAAAAUUAAUAUGUUUACCAUUCCAUUCAGUUACCUCUGUCUGUCCCUUACAUCAAUUCUCAAGGCAUCAGUUUUCAGGGGUUGGGGAAACAUGUCUUUAUUCAAUGUUAUUUGGUACAUCAUAACAUUUUGAUGUUGGACUAGGUACAGUUAAACUUGCCUACUCAGGGACAAUUCAGAUAUUUUACCUUUUAUAAACAUUAAAUCUAAGAAGUUUUAACCAUUACGUUUAAAGGUUUGAUUGCAUCAUACAACUAAAAAACUGAGAGAAAGUCUAAUAGAAGAAUAAAAUCUUAAAAUUAUUAAAAUUAUAACGAUAGAAAACCUAAAUUGUAAAGUAAUUUUAUUAAAAAACUUAAAAAGCACAGUGAUUGAACCAUUGUGCAACACGUUUAAUUGACCAUUUCAGAAAAACAGUAUUAUAUGGAAAUUGAAGUUUCUUCUUCUGCAACUGUUUGACCAGUUGCAUUUUUCUUUGAAAUCUUUUCUUUACUCCUGAUACAAAAUCUUUCUAUAUCUGACUAAAAGUUUUGCUUUUCUGCAAUGAGCACCAUCUUGUUGCAGGUUAUAUAUAUGAUCAAAUUCUUCACUAGAACCUUCCUUGUUUUACGCAUUAUAAACCAAUCUUGCUGUCGUGACAAAUAUCACUUGUAAGAUCUAAUCUGUAUUAAUUCAUCAAAACAUCAUCAUUCUUGAUACCUUCAACAAGGAGGUCUAAGGAUUACAGAUAGUAUCCCAACGAGGCUUUUAGUGUGGCUCCAGUAUGUUUUGCAAGUUUUAUAGUCCUUCCUGCUUAAUCUGAUCUCUUUUUCUUUUCAUUUAAAGAACUGGUGGGCGAGAACCACACCCAGUAAUAAUAAUAAUGAUAAAACUAAACAAAUGAGGAUCGUCAAUCUUUUUAGAUUGUUCAUAACUUCAUAACUUCUUUGUUUUGAGAUUAGUUAUUAGGUGUUUUUAGUGGUAAAAAAAAUAUUUUAUGGCCAUCUUUGAUGUUGUAGAAGACUUGGUUUAAUGUUCUUCACCAGGUGCAGGACUUUCGGAUUUGUGUUGGAACAAAUGAUUUAUUUCUGUGGAACUUAUUUGGAAAGUUUGGGUCUCGUUUGUUAUAGAAAAUUGUUCUGAGUUUUUAUUUCUUUGAUUUUUAAUUUUGUAUGUGUUUGCACAAAUAUAUAUAUAUGUGUAAUUGUGAAAAUACAAUGAAAACUGAAAUGGUAGUGAAUGGUGUAAGUUUACAAAUAAUUAGAAGUUAUUCCAAGUUCAUUUCAUAUUUUCACUAUUAUUUUUCAAACUUUGUUUCCUUUUCAAUAACUACAUGUCCUAUAUAAAUUUUGAAGGUAAAGUCUCCAAAACAGUUUUCUACAACUAAAUUUGGAUAAUGGUUUGUAAAUCCAUUUUCAUUAUAAAUAUCCUGAAUGGUUUUGUGAAGAUAGGAACUACCAAAUGAACUAAAUGCUGAACUAAGUAUGCGAACUACAAUACUUAAGAUGAAUCCCAGAAAAAUAGUUUAUUUUGCUCAGCAUACCCUUGAAAUCUACAUUUGUAAUGCUGAACUAAGCAUGAGAAGAACAUUGAAAAAAAUAGUUUGUUUUGUUCGUCAUACCCUUGAAAGUUUUUGGAAAAUAUAUUUUGUUAUGUAGCUUUUCUCAAGGCUUGUUGGAUGAUUAUACUGGUAGGAUCAUUAGGAUUUCAUAUUUGCAACCUGGGUGAGGUUGGAAGCCAUUAAACACUUAAUUUUCUUAGACUUGAUUUAUCAGUUUGAUGAAGGGGGUAUUUGCUCUGACUACUCUGGUUUACACCUGGUACUACUUAUCAACUGUAAGAUAAAAAUUGACUGCUAGUGGCAUCUGGGUUGAAAAGCUCAGAAGAGGCUGAAUGAAUCUUUGUGGGAUUAUAGAUAUGGGUUGUGCUCAUGCUUUCGUGUUUAAUUCAUUUGAUUAUCAUCUUUGUUAGAGAUUGUGGCCUUUCUUACCACUAUUGUAGUAAGGUAUCUCAUAUCUUGGAUGUUUUACCAAGGAAUAGGACAGUUAAUAUUAUAUACGGUUCUGUUAUGUGAUCAACUUCUGCAAGUCGAGUGCUGAAUACCCUCCCCUGGGUGUAAAAUUACAGAAUAUCUCUGGUCUGAAUUAAAGGUCUGUUGCAUCUUAUAUUUUGAACGAUUAUUCUCAAUGUUUUCUUCAUUCUCCCUGAUUUCCAUGUUUUUAUAAUUUUCCUCAUCCACAUUAACUGAAGUAUUCUAUAUUUGAAAGGUGAACUUUCCUUUUUGUCUACAUGCUCUUGUGCUUAUUUCACAUGCACUAUUUUGUUAGUUUGAAACUGCCUAUUAUUUGACAGUAUAUCCUGGUAAAAGAUCCAUUAAGUUUACUUCUGUAGAGAGUUUCUUUCAUUGUCUUUAUAAAGUUGUUUAGUCAAUUAAAUAAAGAAAAAUUGUUUGAUGAUGCUUGCUGCUAUAGUAUUUCGAGAUUUUAUGUAUUUAACUAAAGCGUGAUACAAAUUGUGAUAUAUGAUAUUAGGAUAAUGUGUAUUUAGCUGUCAGAUAAGUGAACAAAAAUUGUUUGAUGACACUAUCAUAAUUUGUAUAAUGGCAAUAAGAUGUUUCUAGUUCAGCUGUCACAAUUAACUGUUAGUUCUUUAAAACGUUUUGCUAGGAUCUCAAGACUUCUGAAUCUUUUUUCAGAUAAACCCGUUACAUUGUUCAGGUUCUGUGAUAAUACUUUUAUAAUUUUUUAAAGAGCUUAAGCCAACACUUUAUACUAACAGCAUUCUCUUCUCAUUCUCUACCUGUCAGAGUGAUAUGUGCAUGGAAACUCUGUUUAUGAUCUUCUGAUGUUUGCCAAUAUGCUGUUAGUAAGAUACUCAAAAGAAUUUGACAAAACCUUGAGUUUGAUGUUGAAUAAAUGAUGCUUCUCAAUUAUAACUCUUUACUGGAUAUCAGAUGAUUUAACAAGUCAACAUAUGCUAUUUGCCACUAGAACAUAAGGAAAGACAAAUGAUUUUUGGCAUGACACUUGUGAUAACUUAUAAGAGUGUGAGUUUCUAUAAAAUGCUGAAAGAUCUGCUGAAGGCAUGAUGCUUAUGAGGAAACAUGACAUUUUUUAAGAAGCAUGAAAGUGUAAAUGGAUGGAUUUGAUAUAUUGAAUCUUUGUGUGCUGACUGACACUUAACGGAGCUAAUUGCCAUAUAUUUUUUUGCGAAAUUGAUAACAUGUGCUAUUUUGUGCUAAAAAAAAGCCAGAGGCCCAUGUAACAACAGAAAUGGUAGGGUGAUCUCUAUUUUUCUGUAAGCUAUUUCGACAAUCUGUGUAACUCCUACAUUUAAAUUAGCACACUCAAUCUCUCUUUUUAAUGAAGGCUAUUUGUAAGGUGGCAUUCCUUUCUUUUAUUGGCGAUUGCUCUAGGUAUGUAUGCUUGCUAUCUUUGGCAAGCAGAUAAAAGUUUUGUGUAUAAAAUUUACUUGCAAUAAAACUAAUUUGCAACUAAAA